rnacentral:sRNA from 1 species
UUCCUUGGAGGAAGCGAUAGGUGCGGUC